rnacentral:siRNA from 1 species
AAAAUCACUUGUAAAGCUAAGAUU